UACGUAGGGAGCGAGCGUUAUCCGGAAUUAUUGGGUGCAAAGGGUGCGUAGACGGGUAAAUAAGUUAGUUGUGAAAUCCCUCGGCUCAACUGAGGAACUGCAACUAAAACUGUAUAUCUUGAGUGCGGGAGAGGAAAGUGGAAUUCCUAGUGUAGCGGUGAAAUGCGUAGAUAUUAGGAGGAACACCAGUGGCGAAGGCGACUUUCUGGACCGUAACUGACGUUGAGGCACGAAAGUGUGGGGAGCAAACAGG
rnacentral:rRNA from 1 species